GUUGAAACACCUAUUCUUAUACGAUCACCGAAGUUAAGCAACUUCGAGCCUGGUCAGUACCUAGAUGGGUGUCCACUUUGGAACACCAGGUGCUGUAAG